AGUUAAAAAGCUACAGCUAAGCCUAAUGUCUUGAAAACAUUAUGAAAGAAGUUCAAUUCUUCUAUUAACUU
rnacentral:tRNA from 1 species